AUGCAUGGUGGGGUGCACCUGUGGUGUGCACCAAGCUACUUAGGAGACAGAGGCAGAGGAAUUACCUGAGCCCAGGAAGUUUAGGCUGAAGCAAGCCAUGGUCACACAACUACAACUGCACUCCAGCCUGGGUGACAGAGGAGACCCUGCCUCAAAAAAAAAAAAAAAAAAAAAAGAAGAAGAAAGACUCAGCUGAUAUUGCCAGACGACCAGUUCCUGAAUGUCAGACCUGGAAGUUCUUUGCUUCCUUUGCAAUGUCAGUGGACAUUUUGCAUAUUCAUUUUUGUCAUGAAAUCUAUUUCGUUCCAUAAGGCAGUCCACCUGAAGUUCUGACCUGAAUUCUGGAGGAUAUUGUUCCCACACAAAUGUUGUUUUUCAAAUCCUUUGCAUUGCUAUCCUGGUUGGGCACACAUGUUGAUAUGGUUGGCUGUGACCCCACUCAAAUGUCAUCUGGAAUUGUAAUCCUCAUAAUCCCCACACGUUGAGGGAGGGACCCAGUAGGAGGUAAUGAUUCCUGGCGAAACAAUAAAAGAAAAGAGCAUGCAUGAACACCACUGCUUCUACCUGAUGAAUAGCAAAAAGGAUUUAAAAAAAGGCCUCCUCCACUCCAUUGGGACUACCUUUGAAAACAGUGUGAAGUUGGGGGCUGAGAUUUCUUUGUUAGCACACAGGAGUACAAUAUCUCCAGAAAGCCUUGGCCACACAAGUAGGAAGGAAAUUUGCCAUUCUAUGCAAGUCCUUAAAAGUUAAAAGUACUUGGUUAUGACUUGUUUAUACGUGGGACAUUUGCCUUUUUGUGCCUGGAUCUUGCAACUCAAAUAGGCUAUAUUUCACAAUAGCCCUGUUAAUUUUACAAAGAUAGUUUCCUUAUACUUACUUGAAGUGAUAAAUUGCUUCAUCAUGAACACAUAACCUUUUGUUGUGACUUCUUGGCAUAAACAGUUUCAAUAUAUCUAAUAUAUACUAUCACAAAGAGUAGUUUUACUACAAUGUUGUAAAUUCACACUCUUAAAAAAUAUUUUAAGUCAUUUUAAUUUUGUGUUGUUUCCCAACAUUAUUGUGACUAUCAAUUAUUUUACCAAAUAUUUAUUUCAUAAAUCCUUAAUAAGAAUUUCUAUUAAUAAUAAGUUUAUUAUGUAUGAGUGUAUCAAGAGUUAUAAUUACAUUUCAUCACUAAAGAAAAUAAUUUAACUUGAUGGAAGUUGGUAUAGCUUCCUCCAUAAUUACAUAAUAACUUGAAUUGAGUUUCAAGUAUAGAAAUGUUAUUUCAAUUUCUAAUAAUUCCUUGUACUUAAAAUCAUGGUGAUUUAUAAGUUGCCAUUACAAAAGGCAAACAUUUAAAUGAAGGAAAUUAAUCUCAGAGAAAGCCAAGUACAUAGGGUCAAAAAUUGACUGACUCAAUGGUCAGUCAAUUCGAGAAAUAAAGUCUCCCAUCAAUAAGAUGCUAGGUAAUACUCAGGUAAAUUGUAUAAUUAAGAUUAAUAUACACUCUUAUUAUUUUUGGAAUCAUGAUAUUUAAAACUUAAUUUUUAGUAUUUUUGAUUCAUGGUCUGAGUACAGAGGCCUUUCUAAUGAAGUCAUUUCAUACAUCAAGGAUGUUCAUGGGGGUGAGAGUAGUUCUAAUUAUCUAUUGCUGCCUUUUGAAGUACCUAAAUACUAAAUUGCUUAAAACAACAAUUUUAAUUUGCUCACAAUUUUGAGUUUCAUUUUUGGAGAUGUACUUGUCUGGGUGCUUCAUCUCUAAUCCAUAUGGAAUGGUUGGGGAUGGAAUGAUUAAGAUCCACUUCCAAGAUAUCACCUUUUCUCACAUAUCUGUCAGCUUGGUGCUUGUUCUCUCUUUCUCUUCACAGGACCCUUCAUUUUUUAGGGAGUCUCAAUAUAGCUUGGGUUUCUCUUGCAUUAAUUGAUCAAGGCCCUACACCUAGAAGUGGCAUGGGUAGAAAUUUUAUGUCAGACCCUCUAUCUUCACUCUCAAAGUCACCCGUAACUGUUCUACAUGUUGCUUUUCUUCACAAAGCUUUACACUAAAAUCAAAUGAAUAAGCCCAAAUAUUUGCUAAAAUAUUCUAUAAAUACUCUUUUACCUAACAUGGCCAAAUAAUAGUAUCCUUUGGUUAAUAUAAAAUUAUCAUAUAAGCAAGAUGCAUAGCACUGUUAAGUAAUAUUACAGCAAAGUUAUAUUAUUUGUAAUGUAAUAAACUAACACUGUAAAAUCAAA